rnacentral:piRNA from 1 species
UGGGCAGGAAGGCAUGAUUGGAUAGGAAU